GACGAACGCUGGCGGCGUGCUUAACACAUGCAAGUCGAACGAAGUGGCGAACGGGUGAGUAAUACGUGGGUAACAUGCCCUCCUUUAUGGGAUAAGCCUUGGAAACGGGUUCUAAUACCGAAAAAAGGGGGAUGGGCUCGCGGCCUAUCAGCUUGUUGGUGGGGUGAUGGCCUACCAAGGCGGUGACGGGUGGCCGGCCUGAGAGGGUGACCGGUAACAUUGGGACGGGGAAACGUCCUAGGCUCCGAAUGGGGGCGGAAGAGGUGACUAUUGGAGAAUGGGCGAAGGACUCAUGCAGCGUCGACGAAGGAGGCAUGAAGGCUGUAGGGUUGUAACAGUCUUUAGCUAUCGAACGGGUAGGUGGAGAAGAAGCGCCGGCUAACUCCGUGCCAGCAGCCGCGGUAAUAC
rnacentral:rRNA from 1 species